rnacentral:rRNA from 1 species
UGCAAGUCGAACGGUGAAGCCAGCUUGCUUGGUGGAUCAGUGGCGAACGGGUGAGUAACACGUGAGCAACCUGCCCUGGACUCUGGGAUAAGCGCUGGAAACGGCGUCUAAUACUGGAUAUGAGCUCUCAUCGCAUGGUGGGGGUUGGAAAGAUUUUUUGGUCUGGGAUGGGCUCGCGGCCUAUCAGCUUGUUGGUGAGGUAAUGGCUCACCAAGGCGUCGACGGGUAGCCGGCCUGAGAGGGUGACCGGCCACACUGGGACUGAGACACGGCCCAGACUCCUACGGGAGGCAGCAGUGGGGAAUAUUGCACAAUGGGCGGAAGCCUGAUGCAGCAACGCCGCGUGAGGGAUGACGGCCUUCGGGUUGUAAACCUCUUUUAGCAAGGAAGAAGCUUUUGUGACGGUACUUGCAGAAAAAGCGCCGGCUAACUACGUGCCAGCAGCCGCGGUAAUACGUAGGGCGCAAGCGUUAUCCGGAAUUAUUGGGCGUAAAGAGCUCGUAGGCGGUUUGUCGCGUCUGCUGUGAAAUCCCGAGGCUCAACCUCGGGCCUGCAGUGGGUACGGGCAGACUAGAGUGCGGUAGGGGAGAUUGGAAUUCCUGGUGUAGCGGUGGAAUGCGCAGAUAUCAGGAGGAACACCGAUGGCGAAGGCAGAUCUCUGGGCCGUAACUGACGCUGAGGAGCGAAAGGGUGGGGAGCAAACAGGCUUAGAUACCCUGGUAGUCCACCCCGUAAACGUUGGGAACUAGUUGUGGGGUCCUUUCCACGGAUUCCGUGACGCAGCUAACGCAUUAAGUUCCCCGCCUGGGGAGUACGGCCGCAAGGCUAAAACUCAAAGGAAUUGACGGGGACCCGCACAAGCGGCGGAGCAUGCGGAUUAAUUCGAUGCAACGCGAAGAACCUUACCAAGGCUUGACAUACACGAGAACA